rnacentral:lncRNA from 1 species
AUGGUGCAAGAAGCAUGCAGAUGGAGAUGAUGAUGACAAUGAUUUUGACUAUGCUCCCGCAGCAUGCAUGGAAGGCAAUGGCGACGAUGAUGAUGGAGACUAUGACGUUGCUCCAGCAGCUUCUCUCGAGGGUGAUGAUGAUGACGAUGGCAGCUAUGAUUAUGCUCCAGCUGCAUGAUUGGAGUGAGUUUAUGAGUGCCCCUAACCGUGGGGUUUCUAACCCAAAACUUUUUGCAUUUAUGAGUGCCCCCCCCCCCGGGUGCGGCUUUAAAGCACCUUGUGGUUGUGGGUUUAUAAGGAUUAUUUUAAUUAAAUGAUAUUCAAGGAGAACAUUGGAUCGUAUUCUAUGUCAGCUAUCGUUAUUAUUUUAGCAAUCUGUGACAAACGUUAAUAUCAUAUACGUUUGAUGAUGAUGAUGUAUAGAUGGUCAUCAUCACUAUAUUAUUAACUACUUAACUAGAGCUUUGUUCUAGUUGUCGUGGAAGCAAUUAAAUAAUUUAUUGCAGUUUUGUACUUAAGCAUAAUCCAUUGUUUUAAAAGAAUGUUUUCUUAUCUGUUGGUGUUAUGGUAAAUAUCAGUCAAACAAGUCAAUGUAGAGCUAAUUAAUCACUGGUUUGAUGGGUACCUAAAAGGUCAGAUUCUAAACUUGAAAAAAAAAAUUUAAUAACUGAUAUUGUUGCUUUUUUAUUUUUUUAAAGGACUUGUGUUUAAGGCAUAUCUAAAUAUAAGACUGUAGGAGAAGAUAAAUAAAGCUGGUUGUUUUCAUGUUCCAAUCAAAAGAAGAUACUGACACUAUGGAAGGGCAUUAUGAAAAAUUCCCAAGGUAGGUUAAUAAAAUCUUGCGGGCCGAUUAGGCGGGCAGUGAGGGAUGGUAAAAGUGUUUUAUUUUGACACGACUGCUGGUUCGCGGAUAAGGAGUUGAAGUUGCUUUUCUCGAGGCUUUAUGGAAUAGCCUCGUUGAAAUGGGUUACUGUGGCAGAUGUGUAUGGGAACCAAUACUGUACUAUGAUUGAUUGGAAGAAGGUUGGUAAAAGUAUCAUAUAAACUUUUGUAUUAAAAAUUAAAUUAUUUUUUUUCUAUUAUAAAAUUGUUAAAUCAGUUUCAAGAGAAAAUUAUUCUUUUGUUAAAAAUUCUAUUCAUUUCUAAUGUUAAAUGGUGAUGUGUUAUUGUGUUUACGUAAAAAAUUUCAUCAAUUUCACUAUUUAUUAAAAUUUCUUCUAUUUCUUUUGUUAAAAUUUUCAUUCAUCCAUAGAUCUACUUGAAUUAGUCCCUCCAAGUCAACAUAAGUUACACAUGAUGUGUCACAUGUUAUUGUUUGGUUGUUGUAUCAGCCACGUUUACAUUUAACAGUAAAAGUUCACGAAAUUUUUAAUAAAAAAGAAUAAUUUAUUUUUUUAUUUGAUAUAUAGGAACUAAUCUAUCAAUUUAAAGAGAACAAAAUGUAAUACAAUUUCUUAAUAUAGGGACUUCCAUGGUAUUUUUAGCAAGUAAGAAUUUUAUAAAGGAGUUGUACAGGUCAUGUACUAAUCGUAUUAUCUGGAUUAGAGAUAUAGCUGGGAAUUUUUCAGUUAAGAGGCUAAUUUUGUUAAUGGCAGAGGAGAUUGAACAACAUUGUGAUUUGGGAUUUGGAAAAUUGUGGAUUUUAUUGAUGCCGUCGAAGGUGAAGGCUUUUUAGUUGCUUGUCAUUCAUAGAAUCCCUACGAAAUAUUUUCUUACGAAGAGAGGGAUUAAGCUGAGUUUGAAUAAGCUUUAAUGCCGUGGGUGUAACAAGUUCGAAGAGACUGACCUUGUCUCUAGCACGGUAUGUGAUCAUGUAUAUGAAUCCUAGUCAUAUACCAUAUCAGUUUCUUCAAAUAAAUGUUAGCUGAAAGGAAAAAUAUAGCCGCGCGCUCGGAAAGGCCAGCAAUUGUUUAGCAGAAUAUCUAUGCAUAUUACUAAACUCGUGCCUUUGUGUGAACUUCAGGUGAUAAUCUUAACUUCUAAAAUCAGAUACUAAGAUGAUACAUGAAAUGAUUCUAUGCGAUAAAACUACAAAAUGAUAUGAUUUUUCAUGCGUAUAAAAUAUUUUACGAUUUUUUUAUAAAUAAAACCAUUCAAAAAUCAUAAAAUUAACUCAAAUAAAUUUUCGAGUUAAAGAUGGUUCCAUCAAUGUCACUAAGAAUAAAAACCCACAAAAACCUUUCACUAGAAAACCGAAAAUGACAACAACAGGAGGAGAAAAAGACCAGACAGAGAAUAUCAAUCAUUUUGUUACAUUUAUAUAUUCAUUACAUAUCUUUCAAUAUUAAUGUAAAAGUAUUGAUUUUUUUUUAUUUUUUAUUUUUGGCUUUGCAACGAAGCCAGCUAAGAUUUGACGCUGUUUUUUAUGUCACAAGCAUCACACGCUCCAAAUUUCCUAUGCCACGAAUCGCCUUGUGUUCCUCUCUAUAUAAACCUCUGCCUAUCUCCCCACCAGUUUCAACCCAAAAGUCUCCUACUGGUGGUUCAAAGUCAAAAGUCAAAAACCAAAAGCUCCUUUCUCACAUAUCUUGGGAUAUCAUCAUCAUGAGUAGCUCAAAGUCAUGUGUCAUCAUGCAUGACGCUGCUGCUGAUAAUAUUAAAAGGUUUCAAAGCAGCUCAAACAUGAACAUCAUCAUGUACGUUGAUGGUGUACAUGUUAUUUCAAACUCGAAUUUAUCGGCUAAACGUGAUUAUGCUCCGGCGCUAGCUUAAUUUUAAGGGGUUAUAGUAACAUUAUCAAACCCUAGUUAUAGUUUUUGCAAUGCUCUAAAACCCUAGUUAGUAUGUUGUACUGUAUGUUUUUAUGUUUUUCCUUUUGGAGUUAAUAUGCAUGCAUGCAUGAUGUAAUCUUAUGAUAACAGGAAGCAAUAUAUAUCGUUGUUGAUCAAUAAAUUGGUUUUCUUUAUUCAUGUUGUAUGAGAAAUUUUAGUACAGUCGUGCGGGAAUUUUGAAUAAAUAAAUUAUUUUAUUAUUAAGUAAUCAAAAGAUUGAACCCUUUUUUUAUAUAUAAUAGAGUCGAAUGAUUAAGAGAUGUCACAUAAAUUAAUUAACCCAACAUGCUAGCAAAAUAUAUAUAUUUUUAAUCAAAAACCUGAUGAUUGACUCCACCAACACAGCUUAUGCGAUGCUAAUCAUUUAAUUAAUUAUUAGUUAUUAAUAAUAAAUAGAUAUCAUGAUGGAUUAUUUUUUUGGAGUUGUAUAGAUGACUCAAAGUCCAUGCAUUUCUACGUUUGUAUGAUAUGUACUUUGUACAACUCAUGAACCAAUAUGGCAAUAUCCAAUAUUUUGCCUAUUUUUUCAUUAACCUAUAAAUUAGGAGCAAAUACUAAUAAUUAUGAUGUUAAUAAGUAUGUAUGUGAAAUAUAAAUUUAAAAGAAAAACGAUUUUUUAUUAUUUUUAAAUAAGAAUAAAAAUCAGUGUAGGAGAAAUGAGGCUACAGGAUGAUAAUUAAUUUAGUCUUAAGAUAAAAUAUUAUUUGUUUAAUAAAAAAUUGUAUUUUACUUUUAUUUUUUUAAAUAUCAUAUAUUUUAAUGCAAUAUCAAGCUUUUUCAUGAUAAACACAAACAUUUGAUAAGAUUUAAUUAUAUAUACUUUUCCCCUUUUUAUCUUUAAUAAAAUGUGUUACUAUUAUAAUAACAUAUGACUGUUUUUCUAUGUUCUUGGUGUGAUUUUUUUACUCGCAAUUUUAGAAUAAUUGAAAUUCAAAAGCUUUUUCCGUCCCUAUAAAUAUAAAAUAAAUCAAUGAAAAAAGUUAAAAGAUGAUAUUAUUGAGUGGAAUAUCCACAAGUAUCAAACAUAAAUUAAGAGUAAUAACAGGGGAAAUAUCAAAUAGAAAGGUAUUUUUUUUAUGUAAAAUAGAAAAAUAAUUAUGCGAAACAAAAAUGAUAAUCUUUUUAAUAUAUACAAAUUUAAUCAUAAUAUUAUUUUUUUAAAAAAUUCACCCACAUAAUGAGUGUGAGUUGUAAUAUAAUCUAAUUUAUGGAAAAAAAUGUAAAUUAUUUUUUGUUAAAAAAAGAAAAUUAGAUAAAAUAAAAUGGAAUUGUUGUUAUAUAAUAACUAUUAACGGUUUAUUUUCUCAAAACUUUAAACAAGAAAAAUUAUCUUGUAAAAAUUUGGCUUAAUGAAUCCUUGUCCUAUUGGUUAUGGCCGUUUAUGUUAUAAUCUAUUUCGUGGGUUUAAAUUGUUAUUUGCGGGGUAAUGAUUUAUUCUUAAUAAAGGCGUGUGAGAUGUAAAAAUAAAAUCCAACUUAAUUAACUUUUCUUUGGGUGAAGGUGGCUUAAUUUAUGAUUAAUGGAGAAUAUUUUUUAAUAUUUGUUAUUUUUGAUAUAAUGCUUGGAACUAUUUAUAGCUUCUCCUCAACCCUUAAAUAGAAAGAUGAUGCGCUUCAGCGCAUUCGAACCCACGACCACUUGCACUGGUAAUAAUAUCGAUGUUAAUUGAGUUAAGACUCAAUCGACUCUAUUAAGAAAGUUUUAUAUUAGGUAAAAAAUUAAAAUGAUGAUCAAAUACAUUUAAUACAUAAUGAUGAUUAAUUGGCAUUGUUGUCAAUAAAGGAAGACGUGAUUUCGAGUGCGCACAAAAAGAUAACUUAUCAAACACACAAUUUUAAUUAAACAAUUGUGGGCUUAAAUUUUGUAGCAUUUUGAUUUUCUUAUAUAUAAAAGAAUUCCAACAAGUAGCACUAGUAGGCAAAUAACUAUUGAAUAAUCUAUCCUCAAAACUAAUAAUUAUUUUGCUUUCCUAUCUGAAUACCUUUUAGAAUCACUUUAAAAUAAAUCAAAAGCCUUCCAAUUUGUUAAAUAUAAAAGAUUAAGACUAAUUAAUAAGACAAGAUCAUGAAGAUGUUUUCUUUAAUCUUUAUCAGAUUUAUUCCGCCCAGUUGAAAUUAAGAUAUUCUGAGGAUUUAAUACCAAACGAGUCUGUGUUUUGUCUCCAUCAAGAUUCCCCUAAUUAAUAAAAAAAAAAGCAUCAACCAUUAUCAUUAUUAUGUGGUUUUAAAAGCUUUGUUUGUUAAAUCGAAAUUUAAUUAACUUGGAAGCCAAACCUUAAUAUCUACAACCUCUUUAAUCUCAUGAUUCAUUUGAAAAUGUCGAGCAAAAUGAACGAAAAUCUUCUGCCCCUCCCCAUGCCCCCCUUCUUGAAAUUAAGACACACGUUUUUUUAUAUAUUUUUAUCACUCAUUUCUUAAAUUUUAUAUUAAUUGUAGGAUUAAGAGCAAUAAAAAAUAAGAAUAAUAAAUUGGGAUAAUAAAUAAGAAAUUAAAUCGAAUAAUUAUUUUUAUUAUAAAAUAAAUAUUGUCAAAGAUAGUUGUUGAAUUAAACUUACAACACUGAGUAAUUAAAGAUAAAAUUAAUUUUAUUAAAGAUUUGAUAAAAAUUAAUUUUUGUAAUUACAAAAUUAUAAAUAUAUGUUUAUGCAAUUAUAAAAUAGAAUUUUAAUCAUUAUAAAGCAUAAAGCAUAACAAAUGAAGAAUCAAAAGAGUACUUAUUUUUUGCAUAUACAUAUAGUUGAUUAGUUGUGGUUUAAUGUUCUAGAUUUAAUCCCUUAAUUCAGUAUAGUUGAUUAUUUAGUUAGAAAAUCAUCUCAUAUAUAGUUAAUAGAAUUUUUUAAACUUCAGAAGUGGGUUAAGAUUGUGUUCUAUAAUAUAUAGAAAAAAAAUGAAAAUAAUUAUACAUAAAUAAAUCCAAUACUUGUCACAAUUUUAACCAUAACUCUUGAGUCUAAAAAUUCUACUACAAGUCGUAUAUCAAACAAUUACUUGUAGUUUAAUGUUGUAGAUUUAAUUCAAGAAUCAUAUUGUCAAACUCAACUUAAAUAUUAGCAUGAGAAAAUCUUCGAUUAUUUUUAUUUUUAUAUUUUAUAAUUCAAAAUAAUAAAUUGAUUUAAUUUAUUAUUUAUUAUUUUUUUACCAAGUCCUACCAUUAUCAAAUUAAAAAAAAUAUUACAAAAAUACAAGAAAAGAAGAGAAAAACGUGUAGCUGAAGGGGGCACAAAUGGGACAUGGGGAAGGGGGGAGGGGGCAGAAGAUUUACGUUCGAGCAAGAUGUGAUUAUGUUGCCAUGAUGAUGCCACAACUAUUUGGCCAUAGCUAGCUCCAAACCACAUGUUAGAGGAUAAUGAGCUUCACUUUUUCAUAUCCUGCGAAAGCGGCAAUAUGAUUUAAUUUUUUCUUUUUCUUUUUUUAGAUUCUAAUGUGUAGCCCACCACCCUGCCCCAAAGAUGACUUUACUAACAUCAAAGGCCAUUGAUAUGCAGAGGAGAAUCUGCUGAUUUGUCACCUUAGGAGGCUGGACUGCGCACCGCCACCUAUGCUCGGCACUUGGGCAAGCACAAGGCAGCACAACUUUUCGUCUUUAUUCCACACUCUUCGCGUGGUAGCCUUGUGGCAGAAAGAGGCUAUUCACCACCUCUACCAACACCGCCAUCUAUAUAAGCACUUAUGGCAUCCUUUCAAACCCAACGAUCAAGUUUCAGAUUGAAUUUUAGUAUAAUUCAACCACAAACACAAGCCACCAUUAGACCCAUUUUUAAACCACAGUUCCUCCUUUGUUACAGUACAGAAGUAGAAGGAAAAUGUCAGCUUUAUCCAAGGUUGUUGCUUCAUGGUGCAAGAAUCAUGUAGUUGGAGACGAUGAUGACAAUGAUUUUGACUAUGCUCCCGCAGCAUGCAUGGAAGGCGAUGGCGACGAUGAUGAUGGAGACGAUGACUAUGCUCCAGCAGCUUCUCUCGAGGGUGAUGAUGAUGAUGAUGGCAGCUAUGAUUAUGCUCCAGCUGCAUGAGUGAAUAUAAAUAGUUAGUCCUUAUGGUAUUUGCUCUUAACAGCAUCAAACCCUAAUCAUGGGGUUUCUAACCCAAAACUUUUUGCAAUUCUAUUAUGGAGU